GCACGUAUGGCGAAGCCAUAUACUGCGCUGCCCUCCGAAGGCAGAGGCCACAGGUUCGAAUCCUGUCGGGUGCACCA
rnacentral:tRNA from 1 species